rnacentral:miRNA from 1 species
AAUCUCAUCAACCAGAAGGGAUUCCUUCCGGUCAAUGAGAUGUAACAAGCUCAUUGAUCGGAAAGAAUCCCUUCUGAUCAAUCAGGUAUAACAACCUCAUCGGCCUGAAGGGAUUCCUUCUGGUUGAUGAGGUA